AGAGUUUGAUCAUGGCUCAGGAUGAACGCUAGCUACAGGCUUAACACAUGCAAGUCGAGGGGAAACGACAUCGAAAGCUUGCUUUUGAUGGGCGUCGACCGGCGCACGGGUGAGUAACGCGUAUCCAACCUGCCCACCACUUGGGGAUAACCUUGCGAAAGUAAGACUAAUACCCAAUGACGUCUCUAGAAGACAUCUGAAAGGGAUUAAAGAUUUAUCGGUGAUGGAUGGGGAUGCGUCUGAUUAGUCUUGUUGGGCGGGGUAACGGCCCACAAGGCUACGAUCAGUAGGGGUUCUGAGAGGAACGGCCCCCANAUUGGAACUGAGACACGGUCCAAACUCCUACGGGAGGCA
rnacentral:rRNA from 1 species